AAUUUUCAGGGAUGGUGUUAAAUACACAGUGUUGAUGCUGUUUUAACACUAUCUGGUAAUAAAAUAACACUGACAUUGCUAGGCCAGUGUUAUAUUCACGACAGUGUCAGUGUAAAACAAGGGUGUUAUCAGAUUUCACUCUGAGCGGUGUAAAUCAAGCCACGCCUCCACUAAACAUUUCCUGUCAGGGAUUUUACCGCCAUUUUCUUUCACAGGAGGACUGAAGAGAUCAGAUGCUAGUUUGGUGAAAGUUCACACUGAGUGCUUCAAAUCAUUCAGAAGAGAUGCUGUUUUUAGGGCAGUUUAUUAAAGAAGACCUGACAUGGAUGACUUCCAAUGAGAAACGACUGCUAAUACUUAUAUAAAUUCAUUACAGAAGGACCCUACCAGACUAUAUUUGAAUACGGCAUACCCAUGAAUUCUGGAACUGUUAUUCCUUAACCCAGUUUGGAGGAUAAGAGCUUACCAACUAGUUAUAAAUAUGCUGAGGUGAUGUAUUGCAAAAUAGCCAACAUACAACAAUAUGGAUGACCCUCUGUCUGGUCAACAGGAGUUUAAAUAUGGACGGGACAGUGAUGUGGCAGCUCUUCCCUGGCUCAUUCACCUCUUGCCUUCAUUUGUGAAAGGAAGAAAGACUGGAGAGGGUCAAUGUGCAACUGAAGCUACUGAUUGUGCGGUGUAAGUUUUUUUAGUAUUUUGUUCUAGUUAUUUAUUCAGCAGUUAGUUUGCUUGCAUUGUUCACCCCAUGUAAAUGCAUACAAGUUCAUAAAUACACAUCAAAUACAUUC